GACGAACGCUGGCGGCGUGCUUAACACAUGCAAGUCGAACGAGAGGACAAGAGAAGCUUGCUUCUUUUGGAAUCGAGUGGCAAACGGGUGAGUAACACGUAAACAACCUGCCUUCAGGAUGGGGACAACAGACGGAAACGACUGCUAAUACCGAAUACGCUUGGGAGACCGCAUGAUCUUCCAAGGAAAGGGUGGCCUCUACUUGUAAGCUAUCGCCUGAAGAGGGGUUUUGCGUCUGAUUAGGCAGUUGGUGAGGUAACGGCCCACCAAACCUACGAUCAGUAGCCGGUCUGAGAGGAUGAACGGCCACACUGGAACUGAGACACGGUCCAGACUCCUACGGGA
rnacentral:rRNA from 1 species